UCCUUUUGUUAGAAAAUUGUCAAGUUGACAAAUUUGACCGUUCCAUUCUGCGAAUCCUUCACACCUCUACCCAAGUAUCUGAAGGGUAUCAAGGUCUAAAAAAAAAAAGUUGAUACAGUAUCCAACACGUCAAAAAGUGUCCAAUGAGUGCUAGUGCCGGACAUGCAUCAAACAUGGAUACGCACCUUCUUAGUUGUGUCAAGAAGUGGGGGAACUACCAGUGGCAGUGGCACAACUUUACUAUAUAUUGUGUUUGUUUGUAGUAUGACCUUAGGUACCAUACUCGUGCUUCUUACAAAAGAGGGAUGCUAAAGGAGAGGAGACUUUACCAGAUUCUUCUGUCAGUUUCUGCUCUUCCAUUGUUUGACUUACGAAUGCUAUUAAUCAUCCCCCUUAUUGCAUAUUCAGGCUUACAACAAGCAUUUGUAUGGGCUGAAUGCACCAAGUACAUUGCGGAACCUGCACUUGGUGAGUCUGGUGUAGGUGGUGCUAUGGCAGCGUAUGGGGCUUUUGAUGCAAUUGUAAGUAUGGCACUGCAGAAAUGAGUAGCUUUAUGGAAUGGUUUACAUGAAUUAGCUCACUUGGUGAGUCUGUUUCUGUUUUACGUACAUUAAUUUUGACAAGGCAUGUUCUUCGUCUCUUUCUUGUUGAGUUGGAGAAAUAAAAAUGAAUUGAGUGAACAACUUUAAAUUUCAUUUACCCUUUCCUUUUGUAAGCAACAAGAAUAACAAAUAAUAUAUAUCCUUUU